rnacentral:rRNA from 1 species
GGCUGUUCGCCCAUUAAAGCGGUACGCGAGCUGGGUUCAGAACGUCGUGAGACAGUUCGGUCCCUAUCCGGCGCGGGCGGAGGAUAUUUGAGAGGAGCUACCCCUAGUACGAGAGGACCGGGGCGGACGGACCACUGGUGUACCAGCUGUCUACCAAAGGCAUAGCUGGGUAGCCAAGUCCGGAAGGGAUAAACGCUGAAGGCAUCUAAGCGUGAAGCCCCCCUCAAGAUGAGAUAUCCCGUCCUUUAAGGACAUAAGAUCCCUUAUAGAGUAUGAGGUAGAUAGGGCAAAGGUGGAAGCGUAGUAAUACGUGUAGCUGAUUGUUACUAAUCGAUCGAAGGCUUGACCAA